AUGGAUUGGGGUAUUGAGACGCUGGUUCGCAAGGCACAACACUCCCAGCCUGGACCUGAAGGGGGCCCUGCCAACCGGCUGUUUGUCCCCAACUCAGUCCGAUCCCGGGUCCUGGAAUGGGCUCAUUCCUUCAGGCUAACCUGUCAUCCUGGUUCCCACCGUACCCUAGCCUUCCUUCGACAACGUUUCUGGUGGCCCACAAUGGUUCCUGACGUCUCUGUCUUUGUCGCCGCAUGCACGGUGUGCGCCCAGAACAAGACUCUAUGGCAAGCUCCUUCUGGCCUUCUUCAGCCACUACCGGUCCCUCAUGGUCCCUGGUCCCAUAUCUCUCUGGACUUUGUCACUGGGCUUCCCCCGUCUGAUGGCAACACCGUCAUUCUUACAGUGGUGGAUCGGUUUUCUAAGGCCGCUCAUUUCAUCUCUCUCCCUAAACUACUCUCUGCCAAGGAAACAGCCCAGUUGAUGGUGCAGCACGUCUUCCGGAUCCAUGGUCUCCCGGUGGAUAUGGUUUCCAACCAGGGUCCUCAAUUCUCAUCUCUGUUUUGGAAGGCGUUCUGCACCCUUAUUGGAGCAUCAGCCAGGCUAUCCUCUGGAUUCCAUCCCCAAUCAAACGGCCAGUCGGAGCGAGCUAAUCAGGACCUGGAGACCACUUUAAGAUGCCUGGUCUCAACCAACCCCACUACCUGGAGCCGUCAACUGGUCUGGUUGGAGUAUUCCCGGAACACCCUUCCCUGUUCAGCCACAGGACUCCAUGAACUUUUGAGUGCUCCAUGGGGUAUCAGCCUCUGCUCUUCCCAGAACAAGAUCAGGAAGUCAAUGUACCCUCUCCCCAGAUGUUCAUUCGCCGUUGUCGACGUACCUGGAGAAGAGCUCGGGCGGCACUUCUCAAGACCAACUCCAGGUAUCGUCAACAAGCAGGUCGCCGUCGGACUCCAGCUCCCCGCUACCGCAUUGGGCAGAGGGUAUGGCUUUCCACAUGGGACCUGCCCCUUCGGGUGGAGCGCCUUUCAGUAG
rnacentral:lncRNA from 1 species